rnacentral:rRNA from 1 species
UAUGUUAGCUUGCUAGAAUAUUUAGUAGCAAAUGGGUGAGUAACACGUACCUAACCUACCUUUUGGACCGGGAUAACCAUUGGAAACAGCGGCUAAUACCGGAUAUGAUAAAAAAAUGCAUGUUUUUUUAUUAAAAGAAGCCUUUAAAGCUUCACCAAAAAAUGGGGGUGCGCAACAUUAGUUAGUUGGUAGGGUAAAGGCCUACCAAGACGAUGAUGUUUAGCGGGGCCUAGAGGCUGUACCGCCACACUGGGAUUGAGAUACGGCCCAGACUCCUACGGGAGGCAGCAGUAAGGAAUAUUCCACAAUGAGCGAAAGCUUGAUGGAGCGACACAGAGUGCAG